rnacentral:rRNA from 1 species
GACGAACGCUGGCGGCGUGCCUAAUACAUGCAAGUCGAACGAACUCUGGCAUUGAUUGGUGCUUGCAUCAUGAUUUACAUUUGAGUGAGUGGCGAACUGGUGAGUAACACGUGGGAAACCUGCCCAGAAGCGGGGGAUAACACCUGGAAACAGAUGCUAAUACCGCAUAACAACUUGGACCGCAUGGUCCGAGCUUGAAAGAUGGCUUCGGCUAUCACUUUUGGAUGGUCCCGCGGCGUAUUAGCUAGAUGGUGGGGUAACGGCUCACCAUGGCAAUGAUACGUAGCCGACCUGAGAGGGUAAUCGGCCACAUUGGGACUGAGACACGGCCCAAACUCCUACGGGAGGCAGCAGUAGGGAAUCUUCCACAAUGGACGAAAGUCUGAUGGAGCAACGCCGCGUGAGUGAAGAAGGGUUUCGGCUCGUAAAACUCUGUUGUUAAAGAAGAACAUAUCUGAGAGUAACUGUUCAGGUAUUGACGGUAUUUAACCAGAAAGCCACGGCUAACUACGUGCCAGCAGCCGCGGUAAUACGUAGGUGGCAAGCGUUGUCCGGAUUUAUUGGGCGUAAAGCGAGCGCAGGCGGUUUUUUAAGUCUGAUGUGAAAGCCUUCGGCUCAACCGAAGAAGUGCAUCGGAAACUGGGAAACUUGAGUGCAGAAGAGGACAGUGGAACUCCAUGUGUAGCGGUGAAAUGCGUAGAUAUAUGGAAGAACACCAGUGGCGAAGGCGGCUGUCUGGUCUGUAACUGACGCUGAGGCUCGAAAGUAUGGGUAGCAAACAGGAUUAGAUACCCUGGUAGUCCAUACCGUAAACGAUGAAUGCUAAGUGUUGGAGGGUUUCCACCCUUCAGUGCUGCAGCUAACGCAUUAAGCAUUCCGCCUGGGGAGUACGGCCGCAAGGCUGAAACUCAAAGGAAUUGACGGGGGCCCGCACAAGCGGUGGAGCAUGUGGUUUAAUUCGAAGCUACGCGAAGAACCUUACCAGGUCUUGACAUACUAUGCAAAUCUAAGAGAUUAGACGUUCCCUUCGGGGACAUGGAUACAGGUGGUGCAUGGUUGUCGUCAGCUCGUGUCGUGAGAUGUUGGGUUAAGUCCCGCAACGAGCGCAACCCUUAUUAUCAGUUGCCAGCAUUAAGUUGGGCACUCUGGUGAGACUGCCGGUGACAAACCGGAGGAAGGUGGGGAUGACGUCAAAUCAUCAUGCCCCUUAUGACCUGGGCUACACACGUGCUACAAUGGAUGGUACAACGAGUUGCGAACUCGCGAGAGUAAGCUAAUCUCUUAAAGCCAUUCUCAGUUCGGAUUGUAGGCUGCAACUCGCCUACAUGAAGUCGGAAUCGCUAGUAAUCGCGGAUCAGCAUGCCGCGGUGAAUACGUUCCCGGGCCUUGUACACACCGCCCGUCACACCAUGAGAGUUUGUAACACCCAAAGUCGGUGGGGUAACCUUUUAGGAACCAGCCGCCUAAGGUGGGACAGAUGAUUAGGGUG